GCAAGUAGACUCUAAGUGGUCGCUUUACAGUCUGGUUUUAUACAUUUCAGUGACACAGGGGUUACAGGGAAAGUCAUAAAUCAACACAUGGAAAGCAUACAUUGGUUUGGCCCAAAAAGGUGGGCCAUCUCGAAGGAGGGGGGCCUACAGGUUAUAGUGUUCCGGCAAGUGGUACAGCCAGUGUUACAGCUCUUGACCAGGGAAAGAACCGAGCGGAGCACUAAGAGUCGGAGAACAGCUUAUUCACCAGCUUAUUCACUGCUGCUUAUUUCACCGGCAGGCUCAGCUGACUUCUGACUCCCCGUCCUUAGUCUCCUCCUCUUUUUAUACCUUUGGUAGGACUCAAAAAGCAUCCAAUCAGCAACAAGCUUUAACAUCCAAUCAGCAACAAGUUUUAACAUCCAAUCAGCAACAGUGGGAUUCAGAAAGUAUCCAAUCAAGAUCACGCAGCCAGCACAGCCGGAGGACGGGAGCAGGUGAGCAGGCAGCCGAGCACCAAGCGCGGCACGGCACCCACCAUGGCCUCCAGCCGGCCCUGCGCAGCGCCAGCCCUCGGGAUGCUGAGCGAUGGGGAGGCAGAGAGCGGCCUCGUCUCGGCGCCGAGGGUUUUUCCCUGUCAAUAGGCGUGGAGCCACCUAGGUGAAGAGAUCACCUGUCCCAGCUCCCACGUCCCUGAGCUGCAACCAACGCCUCUGUCUGCCGGAGCAGUGGGAACAAGAAAGAAACAGAACCCAGAAUGAAGCCGGCAGCUGGGGGGCCAGGGAAGCUGGUGUCGGCCCUGAGGGAGACGCUGGGCAGGGAACUGAGCCAGACGUGCAGACGGAGAAAAGCCUGCCCAGUGGGGUGGUUAGACUCAACCGGCAUGCAUUUGGCUUGUUUCACUUAGCAUGAUGCCUUCAGGGUUCGGCCACGUUGCAGCACGUGUCAGAGUUUCCUUUCUCUUGAAGGUAGAGUAACAUUCCCUUGUAUGUACAUAAUGGUAGCUGUUAUUAAUGAUCCCUUGAAGCUUGAAUUUCUUUCUCUUCAUUUCUCAAUUCUACCCAUCCUUAAAGACUGGCUGCUCAGAGCCCUUUCUGAAUACUCUGGUCUUCCUUGCUCCUCUGUGUCCUGCAUUAACUCUGAACCAAACAGUCUCAUCCCUCCACAAGAGUACGCUGGCCCACGCUGGGUCCCUUCGGGCUGACCACAGGCAAUAAUUGAAGCCCAUGAAAGAAGACACUGGAGAUUCUGAUCCUAAAGUCUGUUCCCAUGGAUGGCCCACUGCCAGCCAAACACAUCAAAGUUUUCCUUAAUGGCCUAACUAAACUUGGUGGCUUUGUCUGAACACCUCCAUUUAUAGGACACAGGAUUUUACAGCAGGCAUGUGGAAUGCCUCUGAUGUCAGUUAACAGUGAAGAGCAGCAAACAGCCAGCACGUCCCAAUUCAGAGUGAUCUCAGUGCCACCUUCCCUGCUCCCCCGGUGCGCAAAGGCAAACUGUGGCAGUAUUAACUCGAAGGAUUCCACCAAACUUGCUCGGGGUUUUGUGAUGCUUGGCUGGAAGAUGACUCCACUGGAGUCUUCCUCCUUGGAUACACGGGCUCUCUGGCCCAAUUGGGAAGGUCACCCUGAGCUGGGCCAGGGCGUGUCCAUUCUAGUACCUGCCUGCUAGCCAUGUGCCUUGUGCGGAGCAGGGAAGUGGCAGCCCAGCCAUGUGGGACCACAGCCUCUGGACAUGCGUGCCCAGGCGUGUGUGGUGCUACUCUCACCGCCGGGGUCCAGCAGGGUGGACACCUCGUGGCAGCCCUCAAACAUAGUCUGUUUCCCUUUCUACUUUUAAGAGCUGCUCCAUUUCACCGAAAACAAAUGUCUCCUCUGGGUUGAACACGAUGUGAGAUUUUUUGUUUAGGAAACAGGCAGUAGAAUGGGGACCACCUCGAACAUGCUCACCUCCAGCUGGGCCUACCAGCCAACUAUUCUGUUUCCUAAAUAUCCAGCGCCACCCUUCUUCUCAACCUCCCUGCUCAGGCACCCUGAACCCCAGAGACAGGACCCUCCUGCUCUUCCUUGUGGCCGAAAGCCAUGACAUGUGCAAUGAUGUGAGCUGGUCUAGGUGAAAAAGUCAUUUGUCUGCCCAAUAAAUUGGGGGCCUGAAGCCCUGUGAGCCCCAAGCAGGGAGAUCCUGUUGCUUAACGGUCAUCUGGAUUUUCAAACCCGGCUCUGAUGAAGUGCUGGGGUGGGGCAGGGGGCCGGGGGACCAAGGUCCCUCCCCGCAGCGACAUCAACAGCUCCGUUUUGGUCAGUCUCAUGUGUAGACACAUCCAACGCUUCUCUUGAAAGAAGGUCCCACUGCCAACAAAGCAGUGUGCAAACGCGUCCCACCACCCCAUCUUGCAGGUGGGGAAAGACAGGCUCAGAAGGUGACGAGGCUCACCCUGGACCUCAGAGAGCCGUGGGCAGGGCCCGUGGCCAGGCCACACGCCCUGAGCCUCACCUUCCCCUUCUCAGAACUGAGAUGAGGAUAUCUGAUGGGGCGGCUUCCUAGGUGUAUCUUGGCGAUCAAAGCAAGAACAGAACGUACCUAAGGGACCCUGGAAAUUUCAUCAAGAGCACAAGGCGGGAGACAGCAACAGGUCUGGGCUUUGCUCCAGCCCCACUGAGUCACAGUCCCUGCAGGGAGGGCCCUGGAGUCUGCUCCAAGAUGCAUUUCCCAGGUGAUUUCUAUGUGCUAAAGUCCAAGGACUUGCAGAUCGGAUCCACCCUGCCUGGCCAACGCCCAUUCCUGGUUCGGCCCGUAGCGCCAUUUCUGCAGGCUCAUCCUCUCCCGGGACUCACCUUCACCACACACUACAGUUUGGAUAUCCAGCCUCCUUCUGGGACGCCCGCUGUGCUAGAGGCCGGAAAGCUAACAGUGACACUGCGCCGACGCCUCUGCAGCUAGGACUCCAAGUUCAAUUCCAGUUCUUCCUGUGGUCAGGUGCUCUGGUACAGGAAGGCAGAAUUGAACUGGGGAAUGCACUUCUGUUGUUCCUGCUGCCAAGAGGGGCUGGGGCAGGCGUCCUCGAGUCCAGUCACUAGCCCCUGGGAGCCCGUUUUGCGGAUGUAGACCACAGCAAGGAAGAGUGGAUCUGGAGCCGGUAGCAGGUCCCUGACCAUGCUGGUUUCCUGACCACGGCAUGGUAGGAGCCGCAGCCAGUGCCAGCUCCCGGUCAGAAGCCGGAGUCCUGAUCCCAGAAGAGGCGAGGCAGCGGCCUCCCUGGUGGCCCGGCUCUGAAGUGUGGCCGGGGUAUCCUGACUCAGACUGGUCCUUCAGCCUCCCCAGUGAUUCUAACAAGGUAUUUAGUAAACACUCUGUGAUAAAUCCCUUUCUUCUUCUUCUUCUUUUUUUUUUAAGACAACGUCAUGCUAUGUUGCCCAGGCUGGCCU